UUUGAUCCCCACGCUUUCGCACCUCAGCGUCAGUAUCGAGCCAGGAGGCCGCCUUCGCCACUGGUAUUCCUCCAUAUAUCUACGCAUUUCACCGCUACACAUGGAAUUCUACCUCCCUCUCUCGUACUCUAGUCGGCCAGUAUCAACUGCAGUUCCCAGGUUGAGCCCGGGGCUUUCACAGCUGACUUAACAAACCGCCUACGCGCGCUUUACGCCCAGUAAUUCCGAUUAACGCUCGCACCCUCCGUAUUACCGCGGCUGCUGGCACGGAGUUAGCCGGUGCUUCUUCUAAAGGUAAUGUCAGAGCUUGCCGCUAUUAACAACAAACUUUUCUUCCCAAUUGAAAGUGCUUUACAACCCUAAGGCCUUCUUCACACACGCGGCAUGGCUGCGUCAGGCUUUCGCCCAUUGCGCAAUAUUCCCCACUGCUGCCUCCCGUAGGAGUCUGGACCGUGUCUCAGUUCCAGUGUGGCUGAUCAUCCUCUCAGACCAGCUAAGGAUCGUCGCCUUGGUGGGCCUUUACCCCACCAACUAGCUAAUCCUACGCAGGCUCAUCCGAUAGCGCGAGGCCCGAAGGUCCCCCGCUUUCCCCCUUAGGGCGUAUGCGGUAUUAGCUUGAGUUUCCCCAAGUUGUCCCCCACUACCAGGUAGAUUCCUACGCGUUACUCACCCGUCCGCCGCUCUACUCAGCCCGAAAGCUUUUCGCGCUCGACUUGCAUGUGUUAGGCCUGCCGCCAGCGUUCAAUCUGAGCCAGGAUCAAACUCU
rnacentral:rRNA from 1 species